GAGGAAUUGGAGGAGGAUGGGGUCAGGGGUCAUGUUCGACGUAGGUUCCGCCGGAGGUAGGAAGCGGCAUGCGCGCCUUCGCGGGGAAGGGAGGGAUCGGGGAGGGAUGGCUGCCGCUGGUGCUCGAUCGGCGUGAGGGUGACGGAGAUGGUCUUCGGCGUUGUGUUCACCCUCUAGAUGGCCAUCCGGUUCCCCCUACAGUUCGAUGAGGUUUGGCCGUCAAUGCCAACUGAUGCAGGUUCCAGUCGCUGGGUGUUUUGACUUUGCGUGCAUGGUCUUAUUUAGUCCAUGAGCGCAACGCUGCAACAUCAGGUGACGAGCAGGACCUUCUUCAAGGAGUCACCGCUGCCUCUGUCUCGCCCCUCCCCCUGAACUCGACCACACAUGUCCUCUCUCGCGACCACCUACGAUUCGGUUCUUCCUCUUGUGGUGGUGCUUCGGCUGCAGCGACAUUGGCUGAAACAGCCACCCAGGGUUCAGUUCUUGCUCUGUCGACUGGCGGUGGUCCUUCUUGUGGUGGCAGAGGUGGCUGGAAAGCGGACGCUGCCAAGGCGGUGGCUCCUUGCGCCCAAGUAAAAGUAUCGCUCUCACUUUAAUUUUGGGGACUCACUGGUCGACGUCGGCAACCUGAUAACCAGCGGCCUCUCAGACAUCCUCGUCUCCAGGAGGCUGCCCUAUGAUCAGACCUAAUUCAGCAAGAAUUUGGCCACUAUCCCACAUAAGGAUGCAAGUAGUCUUUAACCGGCUGUUGGUAGUUGUCGAAUUUGGUGGCAACAACUACAACUGCAGUGUGCCCUUGUUUGCAGAGAAGAGCCUUACAGAGGCCUGAAUUUAAUGCCGGAUGUCACCGAUGGUGCUGAGGUAUUGAUUGCCGAUGGGGCAGUUGAUCUUAUAACAUAGCUUUGAGUUUGACACCAGGGGAGUGCGCUGCAUCAAGAUUCUGAGAUGUCUUCGAGCCAGGUUGUGCUGGGUUGAACUCCAGAGUAGUGGCAGAGUUUGGAAUAUUUGAUGCCUUCCAAGUCAUUGCGCUAUUCGUUGUUUAACUUUUCUCGGUGUUAUCAACUAGAGUGGUGAUAACGCAUAUCGUGAAAUAGAGAAACUAUGGAGUGGUAUUUAUAGAGAAAGGUAAGUAACAAAUAGACCGGCCGAGAAGUUGUUGUACAGUCAGUUUAUUAAGUGUUCCUCUCGAUGUGUAAAGAGACCACCCACGUAAAAUAAUGGUAUCAGCUGUGACUAAGUGCCACUGGUUAGGCUGUUAGGGCAUGUACAACGGAUGACAUCAGCUGGAGUACAUACGAUCGACUUCUGUAA